UUCUAGCCCCGAUAGUAGUGGAAAUCCUUUUUUGAGGCUUUUCGCCGAAAAAAAGAUUGAAACGGAUAGCGGGAAUAGCU
rnacentral:sRNA from 1 species